UACGUAGGGUCCGAGCGUUGUCCGGAAUUAUUGGGCGUAAAGGGCUCGUAGGCGGUUUGUCACGUCGGGAGUGAAAACACGGGGCUUAACCCCGUGCCUGCUUCCGAUACGGGCAGACUAGAGGUAUGCAGGGGAGAACGGAAUUCCUGGUGUAGCGGUGAAAUGCGCAGAUAUCAGGAGGAACACCGGUGGCGAAGACGGUUCUCUGGGCAUUACCUGACGCUGAGGAGCGAAAGCGUGGGGAGCGAACAGG
rnacentral:rRNA from 1 species